rnacentral:lncRNA from 1 species
AAUCUGUGAGGCAGGAAGCCAGCUAGUAGGACUUUCACUUUGUUGGGAGUUCCUAUUUCCUUUUUUUCCUCUUUGCCCAAUAAAUUCAAUUUUUCUCACCCUUCAAAGUGCCUGUGAGCCUAAUCUCUCCUGGCUAUGUGACAAGGACCCCGUUUUUAGCUGAACUAAGGAGAAAGUCCUACAACAUAACUAGAUGAGGUUACGGCAGGCACUAAAUCUGCCCCGAGUGCUUGACUCAGCCUCACUUGAUCCGCUGCAACAGCCUCCCCUCUGGACUGAGAUGGAAGUGGGACAGCUGGAUGACCAUGACAUUGGACCUCCAGUAGUGCUCGUGAAGCGAUGCAUCUUGGAAAGGAGGAUCUGCCUGCGUUCCUGACAUCACCCUUGGGAUUUCUCCUCUGCUCUCCAGGCCUCUGGCUCUCCCUGCUGGUUCUGUGCUGGGUCACCUGCCACUGCUCAGCCUGCAUGCCCUGCAGAAGUUGGCUGGAGCCAGCUGGUGGUGACUUGCCAGAGACUCUGGUUAAAUAGGAAUUUUGCAAGCUGGUUGUUAAACCAUUGGUAGCUUGAAAUCAGCCUUGGUGGGAGUAUUUAUAACCCAGAAAUUGGCAAAUACUACAAAUCAAGUCUUGCCUCCAGCAGCUUACCAGUAGUCCACAGCUUACCUGCUCCUCUUAGUACCAAUGAAAACACCUACAUCACCUCGUUUUAAUAGCGACAAACUUGAGAAUUUUUGAUACAAAUAUUUACUAGGAAAAAAAGAAAAGAAA